rnacentral:tRNA from 1 species
GGGCGAUUAGCUCAGCUGGUAGAGCAUCUCGUUUACACCGAGGGGGUCGGCAGUUCGACUCUGUCAUCGCCCACCA